UACGAAGGGGGCUAGCGUUGUUCGGAAUCACUGGGCGUAAAGGGCGCGUAGGCGGCUUUAUAAGUCGGGGGUGAAAGCCUGUGGCUCAACCACAGAAUUGCCUUCGAUACUGUAGAGCUUGAGACCGGAAGAGGUAAGUGGAACUGCGAGUGUAGAGGUGAAAUUCGUAGAUAUUCGCAAGAACACCAGUGGCGAAGGCGGCUUACUGGUCCGGUUCUGACGCUGAGGCGCGAAAG
rnacentral:rRNA from 1 species